rnacentral:piRNA from 1 species
GUAACUUUUAAUCUAUUUUGGCACUUGG